rnacentral:rRNA from 1 species
UGGGGAAUUUUGGACAAUGGACGAAAGUCUGAUCCAGCCACACCGCGUGCGGGAAGAAGGCCUUCGGGUUGUAAACCGCUUUUGUCAGGGAAGAAAUCCUUUGAGCUAAUACCUCGGGGGGAUGACGGUACCUGAAGAAUAAGCACCGGCUAACUACGUGCCAGCAGCCGCGGUAAUACGUAGGGUGCAAGCGUUAAUCGGAAUUACUGGGCGUAAAGCGUGCGCAGGCGGUUAUGUAAGACAGAGGUGAAAUCCCCGGGCUCAACCUGGGAACUGCCUUUGUGACUGCAUAGCUUGAGUGCGGCAGAGGGGGAUGGAAUUCCGCGUGUAGCAGUGAAAUGCGUAGAUAUGCGGAGGAACACCGAUGGCGAAGGCAAUCCCCUGGGCCUGCGCUGACGCUCAUGCACGAAAGCGUGGGGAGCAAACAGGAUUAGAUACCCUGGUAGUCCACGCCCUAAACGAUGUCAACUGGUUGUUGGGAAGGUUCCUUCUCAGUAACCUAGCUAACGCGUGAAGUUGACCGCCUGGGGAGUACGGCCGCAAGGUUA